rnacentral:rRNA from 2 species
CUGCGAAUGGCUCAUUAUAUAAGUUAUCGUUUAUUUGAUAGUACCUUACUACUUGGAUAACCGUGGUAAUUCUAGAGCUAAUACAUGCUAAAAAUCCCGACUUCGGAAGGGAUGUAUUUAUUAGAUUAAAAACCAAUGCCCUCUGGGCUCCUUGGUGAUUCAUGAUAACUCUUCGAAUCGCACGGCCUUGCGCCGGCGAUGGUUCAUUCAAAUUUCUUCCCUAUCAACUUUCGAUGUUUGGGUCUUGGCCAAACAUGGUCGCAACGGGUAACGGAGGGUUAGGGCUCGACCCCGGAGAAGGAGCCUGAGAAACGGCUACUACAUCCAAGGAAGGCAGCAGGCGCGCAAAUUACCCAAUCCCGAUUCGGGGAGGUAGUGACAAUAAAUACUGAUACAGGGCUCUUUUGGGUCUUGUAAUUGGAAUGAGUACAAUUUAAAUCCCUUAACGAGGAACAAUUGGAGGGCAAGUCUGGUGCCAGCAGCCGCGGUAAUUCCAGCUCCAAUAGCGUAUAUUAAAGUUGUUGUGGUUAAAAAGCUCGUAGUUGAACCUUGGGCCUGGCUGGCCGGUCCGCCUCACCGCGUGUACUGGUCCGGCCGGGCCUUUCCCUCUGUGGAACCCCAUGCCCUUCACUGGGUGUGGCGGGGAAACAGGACUUUUACUUUGAAAAAAUUAGAGUGCUCCAGGCAGGCCUAUGCUCGAAUACAUUAGCAUGGAAUAAUGAAAUAGGACGCGUGGUUCUAUUUUGUUGGUUUCUAGGACCGCCGUAAUGAUUAAUAGGGACAGUCGGGGGCAUCAGUAUUCAAUUGUCAGAGGUGAAAUUCUUGGAUUUAUUGAAGACUAACUACUGCGAAAGCAUUUGCCAAGGAUGUUUUCAUUAAUCAGGAACGAAAGUUAGGGGAUCGAAGACGAUCAGAUACCGUCGUAGUCUUAACCAUAAACUAUGCCGACUAGGGAUCGGACGAUGUUAUUUUUUGACGCGUUCGGCACCUUACGAGAAAUCAAAGUGC